rnacentral:rRNA from 1 species
AACGAACGCUGGCGGCAGGCCUAACACAUGCAAGUCGAGCGCCCCGCAAGGGGAGCGGCGGACGGGUGAGUAACGCGUGGGAACGUGCCCUUUGCUACGGAAUAGCCCCGGGAAACUGGGAGUAAUACCGUAUAAGCCCUACGGGGGAAAGAUUUAUCGGCAAAGGAUCGGCCCGCGUUGGAUUAGGUAGUUGGUGGGGUAAUGGCCUACCAAGCCGACGAUCCAUAGCUGGUUUGAGAGGAUGAACAGCCACACUGGGACUGAGACACGGCCCAGACUCCUACGGGAGGCAGCAGUGGGGAAUCUUAGACAAUGGGCGCAAGCCUGAUCUAGCCAUGCCGCGUGAGCGAUGAAGGCCUUAGGGUUGUAAAGCUCUUUCGUGGGGGAAGAUAAUGACUGUACCCCAAGAAGAAGCCCCGGCUAACUCCGUGCCAGCCGCCGCUGUAA